UCCACGUGGUGCAGAUUGAUGCGGCAUUUGUCAGCCAUGUCCAGGAAGUGCUGUGCGUUCAUUUCAUCCAGCAGAAUGUAGACCGGGACGCGGCGGGCGGCCGCUUCCAGCACCUCACUGAGCAGGUCCACGUCGGUGAACAUGUCCAUCACUACAGCCACCACCUGGGGAGUGCACUCCGCGUCAGGGGAGCCAGGGCCCCCAGCCACUCCCUUCCCCAACCACACUCCCAGAGAUGGGAGGCCACCACUUCACCCACAAGCACUACAGAACAGAACGGCCAGUAGCCCACUCCACAGGAGAGUGGCUGUGAAUGGGAAGGUGCUUCAUUUGCAGGGGAAAGCAAGGGGAGCCCCUGCAAUUCCACGGACCCUGAGUUGUCUGAGAUGCCUGAACCCCAGGACAGAGAUCAGGGCAGAACAUCAGGCUGAAAGGGGGUUCACUGCUUGGAGCAGGAGCAGAAGGGUUGGAUGGACAAGGCAGGCCUGGAGAAUACCAGUCCCUUAGGAGGAUCCCGACAUUCCAAAGCCCCUGACUUUCAGACCCUGGGCAGCAAGUGUGUGCAGUCUGCACAUACCAACUUCUGGGUGACCAUGGAAGAACUCUGCAGGAAGCCUCUCGCGCAGCUGGGACCCUCUGCUGCUGUCCCCAAGGCCUGGCUGGCAGCCAUGCCCCUCCCCCACUAGCACCAGCCACACUUGUACUGCUCCUUCACCCUCCUACUCAAGCUUUCAGCUCCAGCUCAGGUUGUCCUCCACUACCCGCCAGGCCCAUGACGAUGCACCUGCUGGGCAGAACGGAUCAUCCUUCGAGCUUCAUCCUUGAUGCUGGGGCUGUCCGGUGGUGGUGGCUGUACAAGUGUGGUGACCUCAGUGCCCUGGAAGCCAAAGGUCAGGGGCCAGCCCAGGUCCAGUUCAGGCACAGCCUGAUCUGAGUUUACUGGCCAGUAUGUGCCUGAGGAGCCAUCCAUGUCCACAGGAGGAGGGCUGCCUUCACGAGGCUCCCGAGCCACAUGCUGUGGGGGUUGCAGGUGGCGGCUCACGUGUUCCAGUUCCUCAGGGCACAGGAAGUCAGGUGCCCCCUCGGCUUGCAGGAAGCGGCUAUAGGCUUCUGGCCCCCCCUCAGUCAGUGCAUCUACGGCCAAGCGGUAGUACUCCUUGUAGUGAGGAGGUAGGUACCCUGGUGCCAGUGGGUUGUCCCCCUGAGAAGAGCUCUGGGAACGACGGGCCAUGUUGGGGCCAGGGGCCUAGAAGAGUAAAAGAUACAUGAAGUAGGGCAUGCAGGGACCUCUUCCCUAUCCUCACUCGUGGAGCUGCUGGAGAUCGUGUGUUCAUUCAGCCCACGUCUGGGAAGGAUGCUCCUAGUGGGACAAAGGCCUUAGGUCCUCAGCCCUGACUCCCCUUCUUGGGAAUGGGAUAGGACUAUUUCACCAGACCCUAGAGACUGCCAGUGCCUGCCUCAGCUUCUGGGCAGGGGCUGUAGCUCCUCGCCUCUUCUUCAGGGUUACAGCAUUCAUGGCCCCACGUAAUUUGUGGGCCCCUAAACCUAUAAGAAUAAGUAAGUUAGGGCUGGGUAUAUGGCUCCGUGUUUAAAGGAACUUGCUUUGAAUUGCCUGACCACCUGGGUUUGAUACUCCAGUAGCCACAUAGAGCCAGAUUGACACACAGAG